AUCUAGAAGAUUCUCAAGACUCCAAAUUUUCUUCGACGUAUUGAACAAUUAAUGGUGGACACUGAGUGUGACAAGAUGGAAAAAAAAAUGCACGCGCCACCGGUGAGAGUGUGGGUUGAUUAGGUCAUUAAUUGGUUUACAUCAUGUAUAUACAUAAUUUUCCAAGGGAAGAUUUUGUCUUGGUAAUGCUUGGAUUCUGCUUUUUCCGCACGCUUUUCCACCAAGUAUCUGUUUAAUAUCCUAAUUUCAAAGAUCUAAAUAAUUCAAGUGGGUGGAUUUGUUCAGAGAGGUGAAUUCAAUUCAAUUUCAUUUCAUGUGUAUCAUUUUCUUCUCCUUGUUUUUUCCUUUUACCCUUCAUACAGUACUACAGCUCAACUGUGGCAACUACUUAAAAUUAUCUGGAAAAAUUUCAGUGAUAAGUAUCUCUUCUUCCUUGUUUUUCAAGUGAGCAUAUUUUAGCUACUUCUUCAUAUCUAUCUGUUCUCUGUUUCCUCGUUUCUGAUUCCGAAUAAUUUAGGGCAAAUAUUAUCUGUUCAUCAACUCUCUUAAGACAUGAAACUUGCUUUAGACAGUGACUGUUCGUUUUUGGUCUGAAAUUUGACAGUAUAAAGUACAAAACUCUUUAAAAUAAACAGUUGUUGAAUUAUGACUUUUCAGUCUUGAUUUAAAUGCUGGUUGUGAAGUUAUAUGUAACUGUAGUUUUUUUAGUUACCAUUCAGAUUUCUUACAGAAAGCUCAGCACAAAAACCAAUUUGGGUUCAUCAGUUCAGUUUGUAACUGCUCACCUACCAUAUUAGCUUAAAAUUUCCAUACAUAGUUUUGAAUUUUCAAUCAAAGUUCUUGAAACAGAUUAUAUAUUAGUGGGUGUGGGGGUUAAAUAUUCUGCUUAAUUGUUUUCUGUAGAUAUAGUCUUUGAUUCGAAUUUAGAGAGUACAGCGUCAGAUCCAGAGAGAGAUCAGAAGAAAAAGCUGGCUGCAAAUAAGUGGUGGGACAAAUUAGAUGUGGCGAUGGCGGGAUAUGAGCAGCCGGCUCAAGGUUCUCGCUACGUCCAUCAACUCCUCAGACCUGAACUGCACCUUCAGCGACCUUCAUCAAUUCCACAACAACAUCAAUCAGCUCAACUUUCCCCAGAUUCUAAAGACUCCAAAGAAGAAGAAGAAGACGAACACAAAACUGACUUAGACGGUGCUGCUACUGCUUCCUCCAAUCGUCGCCCUCGUGGUCGCCCUGCUGGUUCCAAGAACAAACCAAAACCACCAAUUAUAGUCACCCGAGACAGUCCCAAUGCUCUCCGAUCACAUGUCCUUGAAGUCUCUGCGGGUGCUGACAUCAUGGAGAGCAUGUCAAAUUAUGCGAGAAGAAGAGGAAGAGGCGUUUGUGUUCUCAGUGGUAGUGGUACCGUUUCAAAUGUUACCCUAAGGCAACCAGCUGCUCCUACUGGAAGUGUAGUCACUUUACACGGAAGGUUUGAGAUUCUUUCGCUUUCUGGGACAGUGCUUCCGCCACCGGCACCACCCAGUGCCGGUGGAUUAUCGAUAUUUCUGUCUGGAGGACAAGGACAGGUGGUGGGAGGGAGUGUGGUGGGGCCUUUGUUAGCAUCUGGUCCUGUGAUUUUGAUGGCUGCAUCGUUUGCAAAUGCAGUGUUUGAAAGGUUGCCCUUGGAUGAAGAAGAUGGGGGUGUUCAAGUUCAGCCGACGGCAUCUCAGUCUUCAGGCGUGACAGGUGGCGGACAGCUGGGUGAAGGUGGAGGGAACGGUGGUGGCGGUGGAGGUAGCGGCGGUUCUUUCUAUAAUAUGGGAGGAAAUGUGGGGAAUUAUCCCUUUUCAAGUGAUUUGUUUGGAUGGGGUGGAGGAAGUGCUUCCAGGCCUCCCUUCUAGAGACAGCUGCAUGGAAAUUUGAGAUUUUUAGUAGUGAUUCUAGGUUUCGAUCUCAUGGGAGUCUCUAUGCUUUUGAUCUUUGAAUAAUCGGUGAUUGCCGGGAUGAGAUAAUUAAAGCUGUACAUUUAGCCUUUUGAAUGAUAAAUUGGCCCCCGUUAUGAUCGAUAAACUCAAGAUGUAAAUUCAUGGAGAAUCGGAUGGAAAAGGAUGAAAAGCUUUGAAGCAAGGGAUUUACAGGCUCAAAAUUGGUUUCUCCCAUUGUACGCUUCAAGUUCUUGCAUAAUGUAAUGGAGGGGAAGAUAUCAGUAAGCAAGAAUACGUAAUACGGCCCUAGUCUCUUUGAUCUGGCAUUUCUCAAAAUGCAGUGAUGAGAUUGGAGAUGAUGACUGCAGAAUUAUAUUUCUGCAGUUAUCGAUUUUAUAUAUAUGCUUGGUUGUAUGUUUCAGUCCUGAGCUUGGAAAGAGCAAUUUUCUGGACUUCUUCAGCCCCAAAACUAAACUAAGAAUUGAAUGAAACACUAGCCCAAUGAAUUUGUACUUGUAUUCUUGCGUACAAAUGCAUUCAUGCACUCUCUCUGAUGUUGAUUCAUCCUAAUAGAGCUAUAAGGAUAUGCCAAU